rnacentral:lncRNA from 1 species
GUGGUUUCUCUGCCCUCCCUUUUCUUUCUUGGAGGACUUUGGACGUCUCCUCUCCACCCUAACCCUAAUGCUUCCAAGAGAAAACCCUAUCCCUCCAUUUCACUUUCCCUCUUUGGUCUUGUCUGCGGGCUCGUUGGAUGGAAUCACUUCUAGCUAUCACCAUUGAAGACUUCCCAAUGUCUCUUUGCUUGCUCUAUUCAACAUGGAGGAGGUAUUAAGAGACUUUGGAAGCUAGCAUAGCAGAGUAAUCAAAGAUCUCUCUCCCGCUUGUUAGGUUUUUGGAAGUAUUUUAAAAGAUCAUUAGAGGCUCUAUUUCCUUCAUGGUUUUGCAGGUCCCGAGAAGCUGUACGAACAAUGCCAUCCCAAUGAGCUUCGAACUUAUAUAUUUGUUCACCAAUGCUAGGUUUCCAUUUCAGAAUUUGAACAGUUCUGCCUACUUUAUUGGUUGCUAUUUCUUCGGGAACUGGAGAAAAGGUGAUAUAUGAUCUGAUUGCUGUUAUGCGUGAUCUUUAUAUGUAACUUGUAUCUUGAUCUCUUUACUUUUAUAGGUGCAGAUUUAAGCCAGUGUCUCAAUUUGGCCGAGAGAAAUACCACCGUUGAAACCGUGAUCUCUGCGGUUGCACCUCAAAAAAGGUUUUGUUUCUAUGCGUAAAACUUUAUUGUUACUUAAAUUUGAUGUCUUAGACACUAAAGAUAGUUUAUGAUCAUAGGCACCUUCAUACAGUGUUUAUACUUAUAGGAAAAAAAAGAUUUGUGCUUCUGCUUAUUUUUAAGGAUCUACUAUCCCUUGAUUUCGCUCUAAUUAGUGUUUAAAAGAGAUGGAUCUGAUAUCAGUUUGAUGAUAAAUAUGCUUAUUAAGCAUAACGCUGAAGCUAUUUAGGAAAAACAUUACUUUAAAAUGUUGGCUUUAUUUAAAUUACUGAUCAUAUAUUGUUAAAAUGUGAUUAGCAUAUCCCAACUAGUUUGGGAUUAAGACUGAGUUGAGUUGUAUAUUGUUAAAAUGAGAUGGGACUAUAUGUUGUUUUAAAGGAAGUAUAUUAUUAUUUUGACUUUUAUUUUAAUGGUUGAAAUCAAGGUUUUCGAAGCUAGAAUCGGGACUCGUGCCUACCGGCUGGCGGUAUAAGUUGGUGUGCCUCUGUAUCAGAUCGGAUCGGUGCAAACCGAUAUGGCAGAUAAGGGAAGAGGGAGAAGAAAUAAAGGAAGAGAGGGGGGAAAAGGAGAGGAAGAGAGGGAGAGGGAGAGAGGAGGGGAAGAGGGAGAGAAAGAGAGGACCUUUGGCUAUCAUUAGAGGACGUUGGAGCUCUUUUCGAGCUUGAUAAGAUCGAAGGAAGGGAAGAAGAGAGAGGUGGAGAAUUCAUCGGAUCACCAUAAGCCCUUAGAGGCCUCUGGAUGGGUGGCGAUGCUAUUGUGAGCUCUCCGACGGUCGGUGAGCCAGCUCUGAGAGAGCGGAAGGCAACUGAGGCCGAAGGAGGGCAGAGGAGACCGGAUUCGAAAUAGGGGUUCGCCCCUGUUUUGACUUUUUUUGCUUAUAACGGAUGAA